UACGAAGGGGGCUAGCGUUGCUCGGAAUCACUGGGCGUAAAGGGUGCGUAGGCGGGUCUUUAAGUCAGGGGUGAAAUCCUGGAGCUCAACUCCAGAACUGCCUUUGAUACUGAAGAUCUUGAGUUCGGGAGAGGUGAGUGGAACUGCGAGUGUAGAGGUGAAAUUCGUAGAUAUUCGCAAGAACACCAGUGGCGAAGGCGGCUCUCUGGGACGGUACUGACGCUGAGACGCGAAAGCGUGGGGAGCGAACGGG
rnacentral:rRNA from 1 species